rnacentral:misc_RNA from 1 species
AGUGGCAGCUAUCAGCUGCCUUUCCAAUACCCCCACUCAAGUUGGAGCAUAGAGAUCUCAAAUGCCCAACUUGCGAAGAAGAAAAUCAAACUGAUUUUUUCCCAAAGCCUUCGUAAAGAUAUCAGUAGGUUGCAUAGAAGUAUGAACAUACUCCGUUUGAAUGUUUCCAUUUUGUAUCUCAUUAUGAAUAAAGUGACAGUCUACUUCAAUGUGUUAUGUACGUUCAUGGUAGACUGGAUUAGCUGCUAUGUGCAAAGUUGCUUGACUGUCACAAUAUAAAUGCAUAGUUUCAAAAUGUUCAACACCAAGAGAAGUCAAUAAUCCUUUCAACCUCUUGAGUUCACAAGCCAAUCUAUACUUAGCAUCAGCGAAAGAGCGAAACACUGUUUGUUGCUUCUUGGUUUUCCAUGAGAAAAGCGAAUUUCCCAAGAUAACAAAAUAACCAGUUAAAGAUCGUCGUGUCAAAGCACAACUGGCCCAAUUUGAGUCACAAUAAGCAUAUAGUUUUUUUUAUCUCAA